GUGGGGAAUUUUGGACAAUGGGCGCAAGCCUGAUCCAGCAAUGCCGCGUGCAGGAUAAAGGCCUUCGGGUUGUAAACUGCUUUUGUACGGAACGAAAAGCCCUGGGUUAAUACCCUGGGGUCAUGACGGUACCGUAAGAAUAAGCACCGGCUAACUACGUGCCAGCAGCCGCGGUAAUACGUAGGGUGCGAGCGUUAAUCGGAAUUACUGGGCGUAAAGCGUGCGCAGGCGGUUUUGUAAGACAGAGGUGAAAUCCCCGGGCUCAACCUGGGAACUGCCUUUGUGACUGCAAGGCUAGAGUACGGCAGAGGGGGAUGGAAUUCCGCGUGUAGCAGUGAAAUGCGUAGAUAUGCGGAGGAACACCGAUGGCGAAGGCAAUCCCCUGGGCCUGUACUGACGCUCAUGCACGAAAGCGUGGGGAGCAAACAGGAUUAGAAACCCCGGUAGUCC
rnacentral:rRNA from 1 species